CUGGUGUUUUGGGGCCCUUAAAUAGGACUAGGGCUAGGGUUAAGGUGGUAUUUUUUUCAUAAUUUUAUUCUAUGCAUCAUUUUUCUUAUUUGGUAUAGAAUCUUUCCUCCUUUGGAUAGGCUUCGAGCAACCACCAACCAUCUACUCCUUAUGCCGUCCCAAAUUUUUUGAUUUUAUUCUGAUUCCAAGGUAAAAGAAAGAAAGGAGGCAUGGUUAAUCAGAG
rnacentral:lncRNA from 1 species